rnacentral:rRNA from 1 species
UGGGGAAUAUUGCGCAAUGGGGGGAACCUUGACGCAGCAACGCCGCGUGAAGGAUGAAGGCUUUCGGGUUGUAAACUUCUUUGAUGAGGGACGAAAGAAAUGACGGUACCUCAAAAACAAGCCACGGCUAACUACGUGCCAGCAGCCGCGGUAAUACGUAGGUGGCGAGCGUUGUCCGGAAUUACUGGGUGUAAAGGGCGUGUAGGCGGGGAUGCAAGUCAGAUGUGAAAUGCCGGGGCUUAACUCCGGAGCUGCAUCUGAAACUGUGUUUCUUGAGUGUCGGAGAGGAAAGCGGAAUUCCCAGUGUAGCGGUGAAAUGCGUAGAUAUUGGGAGGAACACCAGUGGCGAAGGCGGCUUUCUGGACGAUAACUGACGCUGAGGCGCGAAAGCGUGGGGAGCAAAACAGGAUUAGAUACCCGUGGUAGUCCACGCUGUAAACGAUGGAUCUAGGUGUAGGAGGUAUCGACCCCUUCUGUGCCGGAGUUAACACAAUAAGUAUCCCACCUGGGGGAGUACGGCCGCAAGGUUGAAAACUCAAAAUAAUUGACGGGGGUCAUAGCUGUUUCCU